GAUUGGGACUUUUCAGAUUCUGCUUUUUCUGAGGGUACAGGGGAUUUCGCAGGUUCUGAUGUGACAGGUGAUUUUGCCUUUUCAGAUUCUGCUUUUUCUGAGGGCACAGGGGAUUUUGCAGGUUCUGAUGUCACAGGAGAUUUUGACUUUUCAGAUUCUGCUUUUUCUGAGGGCACAGGGGAUUUCGCAGGUUCUGAUGUCACAGGAGAUUUUGACUUUUCAGAUUCUGCUUUUUCUGAGGGUACUGGGGUUGUUGCAGGUUCUG